GACAGAGGGGGCAAGCGUUGCUCGGAAUUACUGGGCGUAAAGAGCUCGUAGGCGGUGUGUCACGUCGGCCGUGAAAACCUGCAGCUUAACUGUGGGCGUGCGGUCGAUACGGGCAUCACUGGAGUUCGGCAGGGGAGACUGGAAUUCCUGGCGUAGCGGUGAAAUGCGCAGAUAUCAGGAGGAACACCGGUGGCGAAGGCGGGUCUCUGGGCCGAUACUGACGCUGAGGAGCGAAAGCGUGGGGAGCGAACAGG
rnacentral:rRNA from 1 species